UCUCCUUUUCGUGAAAAUUUAACUUCUACACAUAAUAAGUGAUUAUUAACCAAGCAAUUUUGUUGACUAUCAUGCAGAAAACUAUAUUCCCACAUAUAUAAAUUUGUAGAGUUUUUAAUAAUUUUAGGAGAAUUUUUUAAAGUUAAAGUUUUCUGAAAAGUGCUUGUGAGCUAAUGUAAAAUAUAACAAAAUGUUCUGUAUGUUAUAAGGGCAUCAAAAUGACAGUAAAUAGUGUAUUUAUGUAAAUCACGCGAAAGAACGUAUAUCAUAAGCAAACAUCUGCAUGUGUACAUACAAAUAUUAUAUCUAUACAUAAACAUAUCCGUAAAUAUGUAUACAUAAAAUCGGUGACUACAAAUAAAAGGAAAUGUCCAUGAGUAUUCUGACGCAUUCCAAUCUGGGUCAAGAGUGAUACAAGUUGAGUUAUGUAUGAAUACACUACAAAAUACUUGCCAAGAGUCUGGCAAUAAUUGGACAAAUAUAAAAACGGAAUUUACAAAGAAAUUAGUUUAUGAAUAUUGUGCAAAUUAAAAUACAAAAAAUAAGUACGAAAAGAAUUUGUGCGUAAAUAUAAAACAGUUUGUGGGUAACGUUGCGCAUGAUAGCAAUAAAAACUAAUUCACAAAAUAAAAAAAAACGAUGACACUCGCA